rnacentral:rRNA from 1 species
UACAGAGGGGGCAAGCGUUGUUCGGAAUUACUGGGCGUAAAGGGCGCGUAGGCGGCCUUCUAAGUCGAACGUGAAAUCCCCGGGCUCAACCCGGGAACUGCGUCCGAUACUGGAAGGCUUGAAUCCGGGAGAGGGAUGCGGAAUUCCAGGUGUAGCGGUGAAAUGCGUAGAUAUCUGGAGGAACACCGGUGGCGAAGGCGGCUCUCUGGGCCUUACCUGACACUGAGGAGCGAAAGCGUGGGGAGCGAACAGG